rnacentral:rRNA from 1 species
AUUGAACGCUGGCGGCAGGCCUAACACAUGCAAGUCGAGCGGAGCGGCGGACGGGUGAGUAAUGCCUAGGAAUCUGCCUGGUAGUGGGGGAUAACGACCGGAAACGGGCGCUAAUACCGCAUACUAUCAGAUGAGCCUAGGUCGGCUUAGCUAGUUGGUGGGGUAAAGGCCUACCAAGGAGACGAUCCGUAACUGGUCUGAGAGGAUGAUCAGUCACACGGGAACUGAGACAAGGGCCAGACUACUACGGGAGGCAGCAGGGGGGAAUAUUGGACAAUGGGCGAAAGCCUGAUCCAGCCACGCCGCGUGUGUGAAGAAGGUCUUCGGAUUGUAAAGCACUUUAAGUCGGGAGGCGUUACCAACAGAAUAAGCACCGGCUAACUACGUGCCAGCAGCCGCGGUAAUAC